rnacentral:tRNA from 1 species
UGGGCUAUAGCUCAGUUGGUAGAGUGCUUGCCUCACAUACACAAGUCCUUGGGUUCAAUCUGGCACCACAAAAGCCAAA